AGAGUUUGAUCCUGGCUCAGAACGAACGCUGGCGGCAUGCCUAACACAUGCAAGUCGAACGAGACCUUCGGGUCUAGUGGCGCACGGGUGCGUAACGCGUGGGAAUCUGCCCUUGGGUUCGGAAUAACAGUUAGAAAUGACUGCUAAUACCGAAUGAUGUCUUCGGACCAAAGAUUUAUCGCCCAAGGAUGAGCCCGCGUCGGAUUAGCUAGUUGGUGAGGUAAAAGGCUCACCAAGGCGACGAUCCGUAGCUGGUCUGAGAGGAUGAUCAGCCACACUGGGACUGAGACACGGCCCAGACUCCUACGGGAGGCAGCAGUGGGGAAUAUUGGACAAUGGGCGAAAGCCUGAUCCAGCAAUGCCGCGUGAGUGAUGAAGGCCUUAGGGUUGUAAAGCUCUUUUACCCGGGAUGACAAUGACAGUACCGGGAGAAUAAGCCCCGGCUAACUCCGUG
rnacentral:rRNA from 1 species